GGGUUGUGAGGUUAAGCGACUAAGCGUACACGGUGGAUGCCCUGGCAGUCAGAGGCGAUGAAGGACGUGCUAAUCUGCGAAAAGCGUCGGUAAGGUGAUAUGAACCGUUAUAGCCGGCGAUGUCCGAAUGGGGAAACCCAGUGCAAUUCGUUGCACUAUCGUUAACUGAAUACAUAGGUUAACGAGGCGAACCGGGGGAACUGAAACAUCUAAGUACCCCGAGGAAAAGAAAUCAACCGAGAUUCCCCCAGUAGCGGCGAGCGAACGGGGAGCAGCCCAGAGUCUGAAUCAGCUUGUGUGUUAGUGGAACGGUCUGGAAAGUCCGACGGUACAGGGUGAUAGUCCCGUACACCAAAAUGCACAGGUUGUGAACUCGAAGAGUAGGGCGGGACACGUGGUAUCCUGUCUGAAUAUGGGGGGACCAUCCUCCAAGGCUAAAUACUCCUGACUGACCGAUAGUGAACCAGUACCGUGAGGGAAAGGCGAAAAGAACCCCGGCGAGGGGAGUGAAAAAGAACCUGAAACCGUGUACGUACAAGCAGUGGGAGCACCUUCGGGUGUGACUGCGUACCUUUUGUAUAAUGGGUCAGCGACUUAUAUUCUGUAGCAAGGUUAACCGUAUAGGGGAGCCGCAGGGAAACCGAGUCUUAACUGGGCGUUAAGUUGCAGGGUAUAGACCCGAAACCCGGUGAUCUAGCCAUGGGCAGGUUGAAGGUUGGGUAACACUAACUGGAGGACCGAACCGACUAAUGUUGAAAAAUUAGCGGAUGACUUGUGGCUGGGGGUGAAAGGCCAAUCAAACCGGGAGAUAGCUGGUUCUCCCCGAAAGCUAUUUAGGUAGCGCCUCGUGAAUUCAUCUUCGGGGGUAGAGCACUGUUUCGGCUAGGGGGUCAUCCCGACUUACCAACCCGAUGCAAACUACGAAUACCGAAGAAUGUUAUCACGGGAGACACACGGCGGGUGCUAACGUCCGUCGUGAAGAGGGAAACAACCCAGACCGCCAGCUAAGGUCCCAAAGUCAUGGUUAAGUGGGAAACGAUGUGGGAAGGCACAGACAGCCAGGAUGUUGGCUUAGAAGCAGCCAUCAUUUAAAGAAAGCGUAAUAGCUCACUGGUCGAGUCGGCCUGCGCGGAAGAUGUAACGGGGCUAAACCAUGCACCGAAGCUGCGGCAGCGACACUAUGUGUUGUUGGGUAGGGGAGCGUUCUGUAAGCCUGCGAAGGUGUGCUGUGAGGCAUGCUGGAGGUAUCAGAAGUGCGAAUGCUGACAUAAGUAACGAUAAAGCGGGUGAAAAGCCCGCUCGCCGGAAGACCAAGGGUUCCUGUCCAACGUUAAUCGGGGCAGGGUGAGUCGACCCCUAAGGCGAGGCCGAAAGGCGUAGUCGAUGGGAAACAGGUUAAUAUUCCUGUACUUGGUGUUACUGCGAAGGGGGGACGGAGAAGGCUAUGUUAGCCGGGCGACGGUUGUCCCGGUUUAAGCAUGUAGGCUGAUUGUCCAGGCAAAUCCGGAUAAUCAAGGCUGAGGUGUGAUGACGAGGCACUACGGUGCUGAAGUAACAAAUGCCCUGCUUCCAGGAAAAGCCUCUAAGCAUCAGGUAACAUCAAAUCGUACCCCAAACCGACACAGGUGGUCAGGUAGAGAAUACCAAGGCGCUUGAGAGAACUCGGGUGAAGGAACUAGGCAAAAUGGUGCCGUAACUUCGGGAGAAGGCACGCUGGUGUGUAGGUGAAGUCCCUGCGGAUGGAGCUGAGACCAGUCGAAGAUACCAGCUGGCUGCAACUGUUUAUUAAAAACACAGCACUGUGCAAACACGAAAGUGGACGUAUACGGUGUGACGCCUGCCCGGUGCCGGAAGGUUAAUUGAUGGGGUUAUCCGUAAGGAGAAGCUCUUGAUCGAAGCCCCGGUAAACGGCGGCCGUAACUAUAACGGUCCUAAGGUAGCGAAAUUCCUUGUCGGGUAAGUUCCGACCUGCACGAAUGGCGUAAUGAUGGCCAGGCUGUCUCCACCCGAGACUCAGUGAAAUUGAACUCGCUGUGAAGAUGCAGUGUACCCGCGGCAAGACGGAAAGACCCCGUGAACCUUUACUAUAGCUUGACACUGAACAUUGAGCCUUGAUGUGUAGGAUAGGUGGGAGGCUUUGAAGCGUGGACGCCAGUCUGCGUGGAGCCAACCUUGAAAUACCACCCUUUAAUGUUUGAUGUUCUAACGUUGGCCCCUUACCGGGGUUGCGGACAGUGUCUGGUGGGUAGUUUGACUGGGGCGGUCUCCUCCCAAAGCGUAACGGAGGAGCACGAAGGUUAGCUAAUCCUGGUCGGACAUCAGGAGGUUAGUGCAAUGGCAUAAGCUAGCUUGACUGCGAGCGUGACGGCGCGAGCAGGUGCGAAAGCAGGUCAUAGUGAUCCGGUGGUUCUGAAUGGAAGGGCCAUCGCUCAACGGAUAAAAGGUACUCCGGGGAUAACAGGCUGAUACCGCCCAAGAGUUCAUAUCGACGGCGGUGUUUGGCACCUCGAUGUCGGCUCAUCACAUCCUGGGGCUGAAGUAGGUCCCAAGGGUAUGGCUGUUCGCCAUUUAAAGUGGUACGCGAGCUGGGUUUAGAACGUCGUGAGACAGUUCGGUCCCUAUCUGCCGUGGGCGCUGGAGAAUUGAGGGGGGCUGCUCCUAGUACGAGAGGACCGGAGUGGACGCAUCACUGGUGUUCGGGUUGUCAUGCCAAUGGCACUGCCCGGUAGCUAAAUGCGGAAGAGAUAAGUGCUGAAAGCAUCUAAGCACGAAACUUGCCCCGAGAUGAGUUCUCCCUGAGACUUUAAGUCUCCUGAAGGAACGUU
rnacentral:rRNA from 1 species